GCCCCCAAAGGCGCACCUGGGGCCGCGCCCCAUUUCCAAAACGAAACCUCCCGGACUUGCGGCCACUCCUCCACCAGCCUCACUCCACCAGGUCCCUAACCCCGCGGGGCCCCGCUCCUCCUGCCAGCACCGCAAAGGGCCUCGGCGGUUCGCUCACCAGCGUCAGCGGGAUGCCCACGCACAAAACAGGCAGUGAUGGCCUCGGCCGGGUGCUCAGCGGGUUAGCGCGUCCUCUCACACGCCGAGGUUGCAGCUUCCAUCCCGCGUCAGGGCACAUACAAGAACCCACCAAUGAAAAACAAACAACAACAAAAGAAUCAACCCACAAAUGCAUAAGUAAGUGGAGCAACAAACCGGCCUGAGGCAGGCCUCUCUCUAAAGUUAAUUUGUUUAAUAACCAAAAAAUAACUAAGAUAGGCAGUGAUUCCGCAGUGAAGUCUGUUCCUUCUACUCGUCCGCUGGAAAGACUACACUUCCCAGAAAUCUCUACGGCAGCUUCUGCAGAAGGGUUCCGCACCCCGCCCCUCCGGCGGGUGAAGAGUUCCGUGCAAUAGAGGCAUUUCCGGUUGACGGUCUGGCUGGUGCAGAGUGCGGGCUGGGAGCCUUUUCUGCGCUUUGGCUUGUGUUUUUACUCCCAGGCCCAGCUAAAUGCCCUGGGCUUACCGGUAAACUGCAUAGCAUACACACCUCCUUUCAUGAGCGCCAUCUAAGUGUGGCUUCGUGCCACCCGCGCACCCCUGUGGGCAUCCCCACUUUACUGGCAGGAGAAACAGGAAGGCAAAGCAGUCGCCCCACUUUGGAUGCUA